rnacentral:misc_RNA from 1 species
CUUAAAAUACAUGUUUAUAUCGAGAGAAAACACAUACAAACACAGCACAGCAAAGCAGCAAACGAAACCAAACCUCUCCGCUGCCUCGUAGAAAUCCAUAAAUUUUAAUUUUCUGCUUCUCCAAGAUAAAACCCAGUUUCUUCCUCGUAACGUAGAACAACUCAAAGAAAAUCGUUAAUCUUUUCUCUCGCAUUUUUAUUUUAUUUUAUUGUAUUUUUUAAUUUUGAUUCGUUUCUUCUUUGGCCUCCUCCAAAUGGUUGUUAUGAUGGAGGAUAAUGAGAGUUGUGGAAGCAGAGUUAAUGAUACAACGACGUCGUCUUCGACUUCGCUGUCGCCGUCGCCUUCACUUGUGCAGGGACGGCAACAGAGACAGAAGCUAGAAGUGUACAAUGAGGUUCUUCGUCGG